rnacentral:rRNA from 1 species
CCUGGCUCAGGACGAACGCUGGCGGCGCGCCUAACACAUGCAAGUCGAACGAGAGAUGAGGAGCUUGCUCUUCAAAUCGAGUGGCGAACGGGUGAGUAACGCGUGAGGAACCUGCCUCAAAGAGGGGGACAACAGUUGGAAACGACUGCUAAUACCGCAUAAGCCCACGGCUCGGCAUCGAGCAGAGGGAAAAGGAGCAAUCCGCUUUGAGAUGGCCUCGCGUCCGAUUAGCUGGUUGGUGAGGUAACGGCCCACCAAGGCGACGAUCGGUAGCCGGACUGAGAGGUUGAACGGCCACAUUGGGACUGAGACACGGCCCAGACUCCUACGGGAGGCAGCAGUGGGGAAUAUUGCACAAUGGGGGAAACCCUGAUGCAGCGACGCCGCGUGGAGGAAGAAGGUCUUCGGAUUGUAAACUCCUGUUGUUGAGGAAGAUAAUGACGGUACUCAACAAGGAAGUGACGGCUAACUACGUGCCAGCAGCCGCGGUAAAACGUAGGUCACAAGCGUUGUCCGGAAUUACUGGGUGUAAAGGGAGCGCAGGCGGGAGAACAAGUUGGAAGUGAAAUCCAUGGGCUCAACCCAUGAACUGCUUUCAAAACUGUUUUUCUUGAGUAGUGCAGAGGUAGGCGGAAUUCCCGGUGUAGCGGUGGAAUGCGUAGAUAUCGGGAGGAACACCAGUGGCGAAGGCGGCCUACUGGGCACCAACUGACGCUGAGGCUCGAAAGUGUGGGUAGCAAACAGGAUUAGAUACCCUGGUAGUCCACACCGUAAACGAUGAUUACUAGGUGUUGGAGGAUUGACCCCUUCAGUGCCGCAGUUAACACAAUAAGUAAUCCACCUGGGGAGUACGACCGCAAGGUUGAAACUCAAAGGAAUUGACGGGGGCCCGCACAAGCAGUGGAGUAUGUGGUUUAAUUCGACGCAACGCGAAGAACCUUACCAAGUCUUGACAUCCCUUGACGAACAUAGAAAUAUGUUUUCUCUUCGGAGCAAGGAGACAGGUGGUGCAUGGUUGUCGUCAGCUCGUGUCGUGAGAUGUUGGGUUAAGUCCCGCAACGAGCGCAACCCUUAUGGUCAGUUACUACGCAAGAGGACUCUGGCCAGACUGCCGUUGACAAAACGGAGGAAGGUGGGGAUGACGUCAAAUCAUCAUGCCCUUUAUGACUUGGGCUACACACGUACUACAAUGGCGUUAAACAAAGAGAAGCAAGACCGCGAGGUGGAGCAAAACUCAGAAACAACGUCCCAGUUCGGACUGCAGGCUGCAACUCGCCUGCACGAAGUCGGAAUUGCUAGUAAUCGUGGAUCAGCAUGCCACGGUGAAUACGUUCCCGGGCCUUGUACACACCGCCC